rnacentral:lncRNA from 1 species
AUCAAAGUUCACUUUAUCCUUCGUAAAUUCAAUAGAACUUAAGAAUUCAUAAGUGAAAUUUUCAAAACCUUUCAUAGGUCUAAGCAUAUCAACCCAUCCUAAAUUUCCUAGUAAGUUAAACACAUUAUCCCUUAGUCCUAGCACACUCAAAGUAUAAGGAUCAGGAUAUCGACAAGGGUGCAAAGGUUUAGAGAUAAGAAUUUUAUACCUGUCCCUUUGCUUGGUGUCCU